GAUGAACGCUAGCGAUAGGCUUAACACAUGCAAGUCGAGGGGCAGCACAAGGUAGCUUGCUAUCUGGGUGGCGACCGGCGCACGGGUGCGUAACGCGUAUGCAACUUGCCCUAUACAGGAGGAUAACCCGUCGAAAGACGGACUAAUACUGCGUAUGCUCACAACUUGGCAUCAAGUGGUGAGGAAAGAAAUUCGGUAUAGGAUAGGCAUGCGUCCCAUUAGCUUGUUGGUGAGGUAACGGCUCACCAAGGCAACGAUGGGUAGGGGAACUGAGAGGUUUAUCCCCCACACUGGUACUGAGACACGGACCAGACUCCUACGGGAGGCAGCAGUGAGGAAGAUUGGUCAAGGGGCGCGAGCCUGAACCAGCCAAGUCGCGUGAAGGAUGACUGUCUUAUGGAUUGUAAACUUCUUUUAUACGGGAAUAACAAGAGUCACGUGUGACUCCCUGCAUGUACCGUAUGAAUAAGCAUCGGCUAACUCCGUG
rnacentral:rRNA from 1 species